rnacentral:rRNA from 1 species
CUGAGUACGGCGGAACACGUGAAAUUCCGUCGGAAUCCGGGAGGACCAUCUCCCAAGGCUAAAUACUCCCUAGUGACCGAUAGUGAACCAGUACCGUGAGGGAAAGGUGAAAAGCACCCCGGAAGGGGAGUGAAACAGUUCCUGAAACCGUGUGCCUACAAGUAGUUAGAGCCCGUUAAUGGGUGAUAGCGUGCCUUUUGUAGAAUGAACCGGCGAGUUACGAUUUGUUGCAAGGUUAAGCGGAAAAAGCGGAGCCGUAGCGAAAGCGAGUCUGAAUAGGGCGCAUAAGUAACAGGUCGUAGACCCGAAACCAGGUGAUCUACCCAUGUCCAGGAUGAAGGUAAGGUAAUACUUACUGGAGGUCCGAACCCACGCACGUUGAAAAGUGCGGGGAUGAGGUGUGGGUAGCGGAGAAAUUCCAAUCGAACUUGGAGAUAGCUGGUUCUCUCCGAAAUAGCUUUAGGGCUAGCCUCGAGGUAAAGAGUCAUGGAGGUAGAGCACUGUUUGGACUAGGGGCCCUUCUCGGGUUACCGAAUUCAGAUAAACUCCGAAUGCCAUGUACUUAUACUCGGGAGUCAGACUGCGAGUGAUAAGAUCCGUAGUCGAAAGGGAAACAGCCCAGACCACCAGUUAAGGUCCCCAAAUAUAUGUUAAGUGGAAAAGGAUGUGGGGUUGCUUAGACAACCAGGAUGUUGGCUUAGAAGCAGCCACCAUUGAAAGAGUGCGUAAUAGCUCACUGGUCGAGUGACCCCGCGCCGAAAAUGUACCGGGGCUAAACAUAUUACCGAAACUGUGGAUGAACCUCUUUAGAGGUUCGUGGUAGGAGAGCGUUCUAAGGGCGGUGAAGUCAGACCGGAAGGACUGGUGGAGCGCUUAGAAGUGAGAAUGCCGGUAUGAGUAGCGAAAGAAGGGUGAGAAUCCCUUCCACCGAAUAUCUAAGGUUUCCUGAGGAAGGCUCGUCCGCUCAGGGUUAGUCGGGACCUAAGCCGAGGCCGAUAGGCGUAGGCGAUGGACAACAGGUAGAGAUUCCUGUACCAGUGCUAAUUGUUUAACCGAUGGGGUGACACAGAAGGAUAGGGAAUCGCACGAAUGGAAAUGUGCGUCCAAGCAGUGAGUGUGAGAAGUAGGCAAAUCCGCUUCUCGCGAAGCAUGAGCUGUGAUGGGGAAGGAAAUUAAGUACGGAAGUUCCUGAUUUCACGCUGUCAAGAAAAGCCUCUAGGAAGAGUAGUACUGCCCGUACCGCAAACCGACACAGGUAGAUGAGGAGAGAAUCCUAAGGUGAGCGAGAGAACUCUCGUUAAGGAACUCGGCAAAAUGACCCCGUAACUUCGGGAGAAGGGGUGCUCUAUUAGGGUGCAAGCCCGAGAGAGCCGCAGUGAAUAGGCCCAGGCGACUGUUUAGCAAAAACACAGGUCUCUGCAAAACCGUAAGGUGACGUAUAGGGGCUGACGCCUGCCCGGUGCUGGAAGGUUAAGAGGAGUGCUUAGCUUCGGCGAAGGUACGAAUUGAAGCCCCAGUAAACGGCGGCCGUAACUAUAACGGUCCUAAGGUAGCGAAAUUCCUUGUCGGGUAAGUUCCGACCCGCACGAAAGGCGCAACGAUCUGGGCACUGUCUCAACGAGAGACUCGGUGAAAUUAUAGUACCUGUGAAGAUGCAGGUUACCCGCGACAGGACGGAAAGACCCCGUGGAGCUUUACUGCAACCUGAUAUGGAAUGUUUGUACCGCUUGUACAGGAUAGGUAGGAGCCGAAGAGACGUGUGCGCUAGCAUACGAGGAGGCAAUGGUGGGAUACUACCCUGGCUGUAUGACCAUUCUAACCCGCCACGCUUAGCGCGUGGGGAGACAGUGUCAGGUGGGCAGUUUGACUGGGGCGGUCGCCUCCUAAAGAGUAACGGAGGCGCCCAAAGGUUCCCUCAGAAUGGAUGGAAAUCAUUCGCAGAGUGUAAAGGCACAAGGGAGCUUGACUGCGAGACUGACAAGUCGAGCAGGGACGAAAGUCGGGCUUAGUGAUCCGGUGGUUCCGCAUGGAAGGGCCAUCGCUCAACGGAUAAAAGCUACCCCGGGGAUAACAGGCUUAUCUCCCCCAAGAGUCCACAUCGACGGGGAGGUUUGGCACCUCGAUGUCGGCUCGUCGCAUCCUGGGGCUGUAGUCGGUCCCAAGGGUUGGGCUGUUCGCCCAUUAAAGCGGCACGCGAGCUGGGUUCAGAACGUCGUGAGACAGUUCGGUCCCUAUCCGUCGCGGGCGCAGGAAAUUUGAGAGGAGCUGUCCUUAGUACGAGAGGACCGGGAUGGACACACCGCUGGUGUACCAGUUGUUCCGCCAGGAGCAUCGCUGGGUAGCUAUGUGUGGCAGGGAUAAACGCUGAAAGC